GGGUGUGUGGCUCAGUGGUUAGAGCCUAGGUCUUGGAACCGAAAGGUCCCGGGAUCGAAUCUCGCAAGAGGCA
rnacentral:tRNA from 1 species